UCUUAAUAAGGGAAUCUUGGGAUUUGAAAAGCAACAUCGAGAGGAAUGAAGCAGCUAUCAGGAAGAAAGAAGAGUGAAAUGCAUGUUUUGAGUAUUUAAGAUGGCAAUUCUGCCUAGGCUUUCAAGAGAUAUGAAAAGGACAAGUGGCGUAACUUGAGUGUCACAGCUGGAGGAUGUGGCUCAAGAGAAAUCGUGUGCCUAAGGUUGUCACCGAACCAAUGGAUGACGAUACAAGCAAUCUGGACAAUGCCCCGACUACAGUGAUCGAUGCCAAACCACUGGCAAUGGUUGUUGAACCCAAGCAGGUUGAGUGCAGUCCAGGGAAGUCAGUUGCUAGGUAUGUGCAGUGAAAUCUCGUCGAGGGGGAAGAAGUGGUCGAUGCGGCGUCGCUAGCGGCCACCAAGCACUAUAACCCAAUCCAGAAAGUGAUACUCUGAGUAUGUAUCCAGACUAGAGAACUGGGCACUGGGGCUUGAAAAUUUUGUCUUUCCUUUGAAGUAUUGGUAUCAA